rnacentral:rRNA from 1 species
AUGGGUAACUCACAGGCGUCUCCCUCGUCCGCCUCCUCUGCCAGCUUCGUCAUGGCCUCCAGGGCCUUCUCGAAGCAGGCGCUGGACGACCUGCGCGCGCACUUCUCCUCGCUCGCUGCGCAGUCGGGGACCCGGGGGCGCGCCAUAUCCCGCCCCGUUUUCCUUGAUUAUUUCGGGGUACGUGGGGCGCUCGGCGAUAGGCUAUUCCAGUUGGUGGCGAAGGAGAGCAGCGUGGAAGAUGGAGUCACCUUCGAGGGUUUGAUCGUCUCCAAAGCAACAUAUGAAAGGGGAACUAAAGAUGAAGCCGAUGAGUUCAUUUUUCAACUGUGCGAUGUGAUGGGAGAUAGUAUCUUAACAAGGUCUGAUCUGGAAGCUGUAUUGGCGUCCAUUCAUGAAACCAUAUUUGCAGAUAAUAAGGAAGCCAAGGAAGGUUCAAACAAGAGUACAUUUGAAGCAUUUCACAACUCUGCGGUAUUUUCAAAGGAUGCUGAAGGGGUCUCUGAGAAGUCUAUGUCAUUAUCAGACUUUAGAAACUGGUGUAUUGUCAUGCCAUCACUGAGGAAAUUCCUUGGAAGUUUGUUAAUGCCUCCUGACUCAGGCAGAGCCGGCUUCCAGGUACCUCUACUUCACUAUCCAGAAAACAUCUCCUCCGAGUUGCUACUCUUAAAUAAAGAGUAUGCUUGGCAUAUAGGAGGUGGCUUCUCUCAACAUGAUGUGCAAGAGUGGAAGCUUCUAUAUCACAGUUCUCUUCAUGGACAAAGCUUCAACACUUUCUUAGGCAAUGUAACGAAUGGAGAUGCACAGACUGUUUUGGUUAUUAAAGAUACAGAAGGUUCCGUUUAUGGUGCAUAUGCAUCACAACCAUGGGAAAGGCACAGUGAUUUUUAUGGUGACAUGAAGACAUUCCUUUUCAAGUUAUAUCCCGAACCGUCCAUAUUUCGCCCUACAGGAGCAAACAAAAGUUUGCAAUGGUGUGCUGUGAACUUCACCUCUGAGAACAUUCCAAAUGGCAUCGGCUUUGGAGGGAAGCCACAUCACUUUGGGCUUUUCCUCUCUGCAGGCUUCGAUCAAGGGCACUCAUUUACCUCCAGCACAUUCACCAAUCCUCCCCUUUCCAACACGGGCAGGUUCAGACCAGAAGUUAUUGAAUGUUGGGGGAUACAAGUGAAGGGAUCAAAUGACGAAAAGCCGGAGCUUGUCAAGGGGACGGUCCUUGAGAGAUUCAAGGAGGAUCGGAACAUGCUGAAGCUGAUUGGUAUGGCGAGUGCGAGUGACUGA